UGGCGCACGGGUGAGUAAUGCGUAGGUAAUCUGCCUCCGAGUUGGGGAUAACCCGCCGAAAGGCGGGCUAAUACCGGAUAACAUCUAGAUUGCUUUGGCGGUUUAGAUCAAAGGUGGCCUCUACAUGUAAGCUACUGCUUGGAGAUGAGCCUACGUACCAUUAGCUAGUUGGUGGGGUAACGGCCCACCAAGGCGACGAUGGUUAGCUGGUCUGAGAGGAUGAUCAGCCACACUGGAACUGAGACACGGUCCAGACCCCUACGGGAGGCAGCAGUGAGGAAUUUUGCGCAAUGGGGGAAACCCUGACGCAGCAACGCCGCGUGAGUGAUGAAGGCCUUCGGGUCGUAAAACUCUGUCGAGUGGGAAGAAACCACCUUUCGCUAAUAUCGGAGGUGCUGACGGUACCACUGGAGGAAGCACCGGCUAACUCUGUGCCAGCAGCCGCGGUAAUACAGAGGGUGCAAGCGUUAUUCGGAAUCACUGGGCGUAAAGGGCGCGUAGGCGGUCCCUCAAGUCAGGCGUGAAAGCCCGGGGCUAAACUCCGGAAGUGCGUCUGAAACUAGGGGGCUUGAGUACGGGAGAGGGAAGUGGAAUUCCUGGUGUAGAGGUGAAAUUCGUAGAUAUCAGGAGGAACAUCGGUGGCGAAGGCGACUUCCUGGACCGAUACUGACGCUGAGGCGCGAAAGCGUGGGGAGCAAACAGGAUUAGAGACCCUGGUAGUCCACGCUGUAAACGUUGAAUACUAGGUGUAGCGGGUAUUGACUCCUGCUGUGCCGAAGCUAACGCAUUAAGUAUUCCGCCUGGGGACUACGUCGCAAGACUAAACUCAAGGAAUUGACGGGGCCCGCACAGCGGUGAGCAUGUGGUUUAUCG
rnacentral:rRNA from 1 species